GAUGAACGCUGGCGGCGUGCCUAAUACAUGCAAGUCGAGCGAACAGACGAGGAGCUUGCUCCUCUGACGUUAGCGGCGGACGGGUGAGUAACACGUGGAUAACCUACCUAUAAGACUGGGAUAACUUCGGGAAACCGGAGCUAAUACCGGAUAAUAUAUUGAAUCGCAUGGUUCAAUAGUGAAAGACGGUUUUGCUGUCACUUAUAGAUGGAUCCGCGCCGCAUUAGCUAGUUGGUAAGGUAACGGCUUACCAAGGCAACGAUGCGUAGCCGACCUGAGAGGGUGAUCGCCCACACUGGAACGGAGACACGGUCCAGACUCCUACGGGAGGCAGCAGUGGGGAAUCUUCCGCAAUGGGCGAAAGCCUGACGGAGCAACGCCGCGUGAGUGAUGAAGGUCUUCGGAUCGUAAAACUCUGUUAUUAGGGAAGAACAAAUGUGUAAGUAACUAUGCACGUCUUGACGGUACCUAAUCAGAAAGCCACGGCUAACUACGUG
rnacentral:rRNA from 1 species